UACAGAGGUCUCAAGCGUUGUUCGGAUUCAUUGGGCGUAAAGCGCGCGUAGGCGGCUCGGAAAGUCGGGCGUGAAAUGCCCGGGGCUCAACCCCGGGACGCGUCCGAUACUUCCGAGCUGGAGGUAGGUAGGGGAGAUCGGAAUUCCUGGUGUAGCGGUGAAAUGCGCAGAUAUCGGAGGAACACCGGUGGCGAAGGCGGCGAUCCUGGAGCCGGCAGUUCGGACGCUGAGGCGCGAAAGCCAGGGGAGC
rnacentral:rRNA from 1 species